UGAACGCUGGCGGCGUGCUUAACACAUGCAAGUCGAGCGAGAAAGUCUCCUUCGGGAGGCGAGUAAAGCGGCGGACGGGUGAGUAACACGUGGAUGACCUGCCUGGAAAUGAGGAAUAACUUGGGGAAACUCGAGCUAAUACCACAUACGCUCUCAUGGCUACGGCGAUGAGAGGAAAGUUGGCCUAUACAUGUAAGCUGACGUUUCCAGAGGGGUCCGCGCCUGAUUAGCUAGUUGGUGGGGUAAAGGCCUACCAAGGCGACGAUCAGUAGCCGGCCUGAGAGGGCGAUCGGCCACACUGGGACUGAGACACGGCCCAGACUCCUACGGGAGGCAGCAGUGGGGAAUAUUGGACAAUGGGGGCAACCCUGAUCCAGCAACGCCGCGUGGAGGAUGAAGGCCUUCGGGUCGUAAACUUCUGUCAGUAGGGACGAAAAGCCGUUGGUCAAUAGCCUUCGGUCAUGACGGUACCUGCAGAGGAAGCCCCGGCUAACUCCGUG
rnacentral:rRNA from 1 species